rnacentral:rRNA from 1 species
AUUGAACGCUGGCGGAAUGCUUUACACAUGCAAGUCGAACGGUAGAGGGGGCAACCCCUCGAGAGUGGCGAACGGGUGAGUAAUAUAUCGGAACGUGCCCAGUCGUGGGGGAUAACUGCUCGAAAGAGCAGCUAAUACCGCAUACGAUCUAUGGAUGAAAGCGGGGGACCGUAAGGCCUCGCGCGAUUGGAGCGGCCGAUGUCAGAUUAGGUAGUUGGUGGGGUAAAGGCCCACCAAGCCAACGAUCUGUAGCUGGUCUGAGAGGACGACCAGCCACACUGGACGGAGACACGGCCCAGACUCCUACGGGAGGCAGCAGUGGGGAAUUUUGGACAAUGGGGGCAACCCUGAUCCAGCAAUGCCGCGUGCAGGAAGAAGGCCUUCGGGUUGUAAACUGCUUUUGUACAGAACGAAACGGUCUGGGUUAAUACCCUGGGCUAAUGACGGUACCGUAAGAAUAAGCACCGGCUAACUACGUGCCAGCCGCCGCAGUAA